rnacentral:lncRNA from 1 species
UCAUACUUUGGUAAGGAAUAUAUGUUGAGAAGUAGCAUAUUUAGCUAAAUAAAUACAUAUAAUUUGCUUCCAGAUACUGGGGGGAAGUCUAAUAUUGCUAAACGUAGAAACCAACUGUCUUGGAAAAUAUUGCUUGAAUUUUAUGAUAGCAGAAAGGAAAUAGGAUUAGUUUUUUGGGUACAGAAUUUGAUUAGUUUAGACAAGCGUUCAGAGUAUAAAAUUCUAGGAUAACAAUGUAAAGUUAUCUAUUCUGUCAAUGAAUCGGCCCUAUUGUUUCUAUCAUGAUGGGUCAAUUAUCAAAGUGUUUUUCUUUAAGAGUAAGAUAAUAAAUUAAAUAAUAAUAGUUGUCCUUACUAUUAUUAGUAUCUUCAUUGGUCUUUUUUAAAAUCUAUACCUAGUUGCUCAAAGGUUGUUAUAUGGAUGAGUAAUAUGAUAUUCUUACCAUUUUUUCUCUCAUACACCACCUUUUCUACACCUUAUAUUUCUUUCCAUUUCUCUUUUCCUUCCUAAUCACAUCAGCAAUCAUAGCUCUUUUCUCUUCCUAUUGCCCCCAUGCACCCCAAAAGCCGAAAGAGGUGUGGGAGAAACAUAUUUUCUAUAUUAAUAGCUUCCCUUCAAUUAGUUUCUUCAUAUUUUCUCUUAUUUUUGAGCAAUUUCACCUCACUUUACUAUGAUUGAAUAGCUAACAGAAAACAAAUAUAAACCCUGGGGAUUUUGUAGGGUAAUGCUGGUGGGAGUGGAGAUAAUGAUAGUGUUGUUGCAAGUACAUUCUUGAUCCGAAUGAAAACAGAAGAAGAUCGAAAUAAACUGGCUUCCAUUAUCCAAGAAUAUGCUCCAGUAUCUUGAAAUUACAAACAAUAGCCGUGAUAUUAUGCCUGCUUUGAGCCAUAGAUGUAAUUCAAUUUUCCCUUUUACAUAAUUUUUUAAGGUGUAAUUUGUUAGAUUAUGUGUUGCCAAACCUUGUGCUUAGGAGACUGUUGGCUACUUGGCUUUUGUACCAUAACUCCAUAAGAGAAGAAUGUAGGUGACUCUGAUCAGCUAUAGUACCUUUGAUCAAUGCAAUUGUUAUUUUAAGGUAAUGCAUAUUGCAUACAUUACUUGGGC